rnacentral:lncRNA from 11 species
GGAACAUUCCACCCAAGAGCAGCAAACCAGGAAAUAAGCAGGAGAGAGAGAAAACCAACAACCUCCACUUGGAUGUUGGCACCAAAACCACGGAGAUCUUAUAGGAGGAAGAUGAUUCUUGUAUCACUCUCAUUCCUUCUGGGCGUCUACUUGCGUGAGGAAAAGGCUAGUCAUGGUCAAAAUAUGUCCCCAAAUCAUUUAAGGAAGGUGUGGAAAGUGCUCUGAUCCCUCUUUGACUGCUAUGGCAGCCACCUAUGGAAUCCUGGGAUUGAGACUUUGCUCAGAAGCACCAGAAGAACUCCCUGGCUGAGGACUGUAGAUGUCUGUUAUGGUUUGUAAAGACACUGUAAUGUAUGUGUUUACUGGAAAACUACGUGUAAGAAACUGAUUGGCUGAACCUGCAAAGAGCUGGGAAUUUGAUUUGAUACUUUUUUUGUCAUGCUGCAGGAGAACCAGUUUGAGCAGAUUUACCUCAGAGAGAGAUACAGCUUGGAGACAAAAUGGCUGCCUACUCUCUGAGGCCUUGAUAUUUCUGAGGCUCUGAAGAUUUAUGGACUUUAAAAAGACAGUUCAUGACUAUUGACCUCUGUAAGCAAUCAGAGGAACUAUUGUAAAUAUAUAUAUAUAUAUAUAUAUAUAUAUAUAUAUAUAUCCCUUUUUAUUUUCAGGGAACAUGUUUCGAAGGAUGUGGAUACCGCCAUCAGAAAAUUUCAAGUAUUUUAAAUAAUCUGAAUUACACAUGUUUGUGUGUAUUGAAUUUAUGUAUAUAAGUAAAUUAUUAGCUAUUUUGUCAAGAUAAAAAAUCUUUGAAAAGAAAAUGAGUAAAGGUUAAUAUGCUUAGUUACAUGUGAACAAAUUGGCUUUGAAUUUUAAAAGAUAUAGAUUAAAUCUAUUUAAGAAAGUUGCUAUGGGGUUAAAUAUAGGGUAAGGUAUAAAGGGAUAUUGUUGACUUCCAAUCUCUGCCACUAGCUG